AAGAAUUGGGUGGAGUCAUCAAAAGUAUCAGCCUUGUUGUCUGAAUUAAAACGUCUUCAUUCUGUUGGCUCCAAAAGCAUUGUUUUUAGUCAGUGGACUGCCUUCUUAGAUCUACUGCAGAUUCCUCUUUCUCGUAGUAGUAUUCCAUUUGUUCGCCUUGAUGGGACGUUAAACCAACAACAACGUGAGAAAGUAAUAAAGAAGUUCUCAGAAGAGGAUGACAUAUCGG
rnacentral:misc_RNA from 1 species